UACAUAUAAUUGUUAGUUGCUAUGGG
rnacentral:sRNA from 1 species